rnacentral:misc_RNA from 1 species
GGAUUCUGGGAUGAUGUGGAGGAAUACUUUCGUGUCUUAACUGUGGAAGAUAUUGAUAGAUGGUAUAAACUUCGGUCUUUUGAGUUUUUGGGUAAUGAUCAGAAAUUAUUGUACAUUCCUACGUUUGAGAAUGUGGGCAGUGCAGUGAAUGAUAGUGGGGUGACGGCUAAAGAAGAGAAGGAGAAUGAGCAAUUUAUGGACGUCGACAGUGAAGGAGGAAAGAAAAUUGAAUUGUUUAAAGAAGAAAAUGAUGGAAAUGUGAAGCCCUGUUCGUCCCCCUCUUUGCCUUUCAGUGGGUUGGAAUGGCUAUUAGGUUCUAGGAAUAAGAUAUAUAUUGCCUCUGAACGACCUUCAAAGAAAAGGAAGCUUUUGGGUGGAGAUGCAGGAUUGGAGAAGCUUCUAGUUGCUCGCCCUGUAGAAGGGUCAGAUUCAUUUUGUCACUAUUGUAGUUUAGGUGACCAUGGUGAUGUGCUGAACAGACUGAUUGUUUGUAGUUCUUGUAGUAUCACUGUUCAUCAGAGAUGCUAUGGUGUGCAGGACGAUGUUGAUGGCACUUGGUUGUGUUCUUGGUGCAAGCAAAAUAAUGAGGCGGUAAGUAUUGACAAGCCAUGCGUUCUUUGCCCAAAAAGCGGUGGUGCUCUGAAACCUUGUAGGAAAAGAGGUCUGGGAAGUGAAGAAUCUUCUGGACUGGAGUUUGUUCACUUGUUUUGUUGUCAGUGGAUGCCUGAGGUAUUUGUUGAGAAUACUAGGAUCAUGGAACCGAUAUUGAAUGUUGAUGGCAUAAAGGAUACACGGAAGAAGUUAAUUUGUUAUCUGUGCAAGGUGAAACAUGGGGCGUGUGUUCGGUGCAGUAAUGGAGCUUGUAGGACAUCUUUCCAUCCUAUAUGUGCCAGGGAAGCAAGCCACAGAAUGGAGAUAUGGGGCAAACUUGGAUGUGAUGAUGUUGAAUUACGUGCAUUCUGCUCGAAGCAUUCAGAUUUCCAGAUCAGCAGUAGCAGUCAACAAGGUAAAGGAUCUGCAGUAGACGUUUCUUGCUCCACAGAUAACAAUCAGUUGGCUGGGUCAGUCACAGCCAAAUCACACAAGUUAAAGCUUGGCUUAAGAAAUGGAGACAAAAUGGUGUUGCACACGGACAGUUCCAGUUCAGGUUUAGAUAAGUUGAAUGAUGAUGGAUUACAACAGGAAGGGCUGCUGGAGAAGGGCUUGAAUCUUAGACACCAAACAGAAUACGGUGUUCCACAGCAGCCUAUUAAUAGGGACUUGUGUGAAAAUAAAGAUGGUGAUGUGGCUGAUCCUGUAGAUUUCACCAUGAUAUUGAAAAAGUUAAUACAGCAGAAAAAGGUUGAUGUAAAAGAUGUUGCUGUGGAGAUUGGUGUACCUUCAGAUUUGUUGGCCUCGAUGCUUAAUGAUGGUAAAAUGGUUCCUGACAUACGGUCCAAGGUAGCUAAGUGGUUGAAGAAUCAUGCUUAUAUUGGAAGUUUACACAGAACUUUAAAAGUCAAAAUUAAAUCCACAAAAGCCCCAAAAGUUGGGGCCGGUGUAGUGGAUGAUUUGGAUUCCAUUAAAGUAACCGAACCCGAGAUUACGGACUCUGUACCCGUGAAAUCUGUACCACCUCGAAGAAGAACCAAAAACAAUGUCAGGGUUGUGAAAGAUGGUGAAUCACUUUAUUCAUCUAAGGAGACGGUACACAUUGAUGGAGUAGCGGCAGAUGAUGCUAAAACUAGUGUGGAUGGAAGGGAAGAUUCAAGUUGUCCAAGAGAGCUUCUGUCUGCUGGCGUACAAAAGGUUAUGCUCGCGACUAUUCCCUCAAAAGCAACUCUAGCAGGCGAUCCCAAUGUUGAUGAAGUGCCAAUCCAUUGCCUUGACAAUGGUCAAGUGGAGCAGGGUGCUUUAUCUGAUCAGAAUCUUGCGACAGUUGCUGAU